rnacentral:rRNA from 1 species
GCGACCCCAGGUCAGGCGGGACUACCCGCUGRGUUUAAGCAUAU